rnacentral:lncRNA from 1 species
GGUCGAGGAGGGGCAGGAAGCAGAGUUUCAAAGCUGUUUCACCCUUUGUUAUUCCUGCCCAGUCCCACCCUCUACACCCCCACCCCAGGCUGCAUUCCAGAACCUGGGGAGGGUGGGGGUCCUGCCCCUGGAGAAAUCCGCUUAACCGGGAGGAGGCUCGGGUUACAGCUGAGCUGCUGGGGAGGAGUCGGGCCCUUCCCAGCCUGACACCGAACAUUCCGGAAGCAAAUGUAACCUCCUGGGAUCUAUCGCACGGGUCAAUCACUGAAGAACUAUGGACGGAGGUUCAUAACAUUGUACAGGAGGCGGUGACCAAAACCAUCCCAAAGAAAAAGAAAUGCAAGAAGGCAUUUGUGGUUGUCUGAGGAGGCCUUAUAAAUAGCAGAGGAAAGAAGAGAAACAGAAGGUAAGGGAGAAAGGGAAAGGUAUACCCAACUGAAUGCAGAGUUUCAGAGAAUAGCAAGGAGAUAUAAGAAAGCUUUCUUAAGUGAACAAUGCAAAGAAAUAGAGGAAAACAAUAGAAUGGGAAAGACUAGACAUCUCUUCAAGAAAAUUGGAGAUACCAAGGGAACAUUUCAUGUAAAUAUGGGCACAAUAAAGGACAGAAAUAGCAAGGCCCUAACA